GCCUUGGUAGAUCAAUAGGCAGAUCAUCCCAACACAGUGAGUAACCUCCCGACGAUUAUACGGGAAGGCGGAGGUUCGAGUCCUCCCCAAGGCA